UCUGAAGGUUGUUGUUUUGUUCGUAAUGUAUCAUUGGAUGAUCUUUCUUUUUUUUUUUUUUUUGUUUAACGAUGGUGGUAUUGGAGGAAGUGUACAAUUACUGUGUUGUGACUAUUGGAAAAGAAAAACAAAAUCGAAGAAUCUUUUGUUUUUUCAUGUGAAAAUUAGAGGUUUUUCUUCCUCUUUUCUUCUUUUCUUUGGUGGUGGAUAGUACUGCUGUCUCAGCUUUACUAAUAGAGGAAGAAAGAGAGAUGAGUUAAGAGGGAGAAACAAAGGGUUUUGCUUUCUGAAAUCAACUUUUGUUUCAGCUCUCUUUUUCGAGUCCUAAAAGAUUUCUUUUAUCCCUUUACUCUUCUUUUUUAUUUUUCUUGGAAAAAAGUUUCUUCUUUUUGUUAAUUGAUUCAUUGACCUCGCACCUUACAUGGAGAAGGCAAUUGUAUGGUCUCUGAUUGUUUAAUCUUCUUCUUUACAUACACUCGUCAAAUUCUUUUCUCUCUCUAU